rnacentral:rRNA from 1 species
AAGUAGCUUGCUACUGGACCUAGCGGCGGACGGGUGAGUAAUGCUUAGGAAUCUGCCUAUUAGUGGGGGACAACAUCUCGAAAGGGAUGCUAAUACCGCAUACGUCCUACGGGAGAAAGCAGGGGACCUUCGGGCCUUGCGCUAAUAGAUGAGCCUAAGUCGGAUUAGCUAGUUGGUGGGGUAGAGGCCUACCAAGGCGACGAUCUGUAGCGGGUCUGAGAGGAUGAUCCGCCACACUGGGACUGAGACACGGCCCAGACUCCUACGGGAGGCAGCAGUGGGGAAUAUUGGACAAUGGGGGGAACCCUGAUCCAGCCAUGCCGCGUGUGUGAAGAAGGCCUUUCGGUUGUAAAGCACUUUAAGCGAGGAGGAGGCUACCGAGAUUAAUACUCUUGGAUAGUGGACGUUACUCGCAGAAUAAGCACCGGCUAACUCUGUGCCAGCAGCCGCGGUAAUACAGAGGGUGCAAGCGUUAAUCGGAUUUACUGGGCGUAAAGCGCGCGUAGGUGGCCAAUUAAGUCAAAUGUGAAAUCCCCGAGCUUAACUUGGGAAUUGCAUUCGAUACUGGUUGGCUAGAGUAUGGGAGAGGAUGGUAGAAUUCCAGGUGUAGCGGUGAAAUGCGUAGAGAUCUGGAGGAAUACCGAUGGCGAAGGCAGCCAUCUGGCCUAAUACUGACACUGAGGUGCGAAAGCAUGGGGAGCAAACAGGAUUAGAUACCCUGGUAGUCCAUGCCGUAAACGAUGUCUACUAGCCGUUGGGGCCUUUGAGGCUUUAGUGGCGCAGCUAACGCGAUAAGUAGACCGCCUGGGGAGUACGGUCGCAAGACUAAAACUCAAAUGAAUUGACGGGGGCCCGCACAAGCGGUGGAGCAUGUGGUUUAAUUCGAUGCGACGCGAAGAACCUUACCUGGUCUUGACAUAGU